UUCAUUUUCCUCUUCCAUAUUUAUACACAUAUCAAUGUGGACUUUCUGGAAUUUAGAUAACUUGAUAGAGAUGACAUGUGCCAUAUGGUCUUUAGGACAAAUUCCAGCUUCAUUAACAGUUCACUGGCUGAAAGAAAUAGCAAUUAGUCUUUCGUGCAGUCUAAAAUCAGCUUGUCAAUUAGCAAACAAACUAAAAAUUACUGGAGUUUCUUUUUACAGAAGCCUCUGCUGUGAGCCUUCUUCCUACACCCCACGUAGAGCUGACUUUGCAGCAUCAAACCAUUGUACCCUGUGUUCACUGCUUUGCCACUGGAAAUGGGUCAGGAUUAAGCAGAAGAAUCUCAAUGUGUGUAAUGCAAAUAUGAAAGCAAAGAGGCAAGUGAAACCUCUGUAUUGCCCUAAAUCGUGGGCACAGUGCUGGGAGUGGAGGGAGGGACCUGCUGGAGGAAGCCCUGAACGCUGAGCUGGUGGGCAAAGCCUGCCCUGAGACAGGAGUGCCAUGAGCCUCCAGGCAGAGGUGGUGUCCAGCAGGGCAGCUCCGCAGCUUCCCAGAAACAGCACUGCCAUGUGCUCCAGUUCUGGAUGGGGAUGUGGGCAGAGCAGGGCCAGAGUCCGGGAGGGGCACCCUUGGCCUGGCCUGCCCAGGGGCUGGGUCUUGGUCAGAGGGUGUGAUACAUCUUUAUUUUCCCAGUUCCAUUUGCUGGAGGAAGACCUUUCUCUUUCCUGAUUCAUUUCUAAGCCACCUGGGAUGCCUGUAUUCCCUUACACCCAUAAAAUGGGAACAAAUAAUUUAUUACACUCUUCUAAAUCUGUUUAUCAGCUAAGGCUUGAAAGACUUGUUUUCUCCAACUGUUUUUUGAUAUUACUUUUUGGUUUUUACUCAAAAGCUAAGUAAGAUCUUGUGAUUUACCUGAAGGAGGAUGGGAGGUCAGGUGACGUUUUUAAUGUCAUCAGCAAAGACUUUGCUGUCAAGUGGCUGUAUUGGCCACCCACAGAAGGUGCAGGAGAGCCUGAUGACUACUGGUUAUUUUAUGAAAACAGCUCUUGAAUUGCCACAAGUAACUGAGUAAGGGAAUGAAAGUCUGCUGUGAUCAAAUAUCUAGUGCAGGCUGUCCCUCCUGGCUCUGAACUCAUCCCUGUUGGUUAAUGCCUCUGCAAAAUGCUGUACAUGGCUGCUGUGAUGGGAACCAUCAGCCCCUGAACCUAACUGUGCUGUUCCUGCUGGAGGUGGGAAGCCCCUUGUUCAGCUUCCAGUUUCUGCUCUCUUACUAUGGACCUUAUCCGUGUGAUUUGACAGCCUCCAGUGAAAACACUUCACCAGAGCAGUAAGUAAAGCCACCUGCCAAGGAUCGUGACCCCAUUGUCUGCAGAACCUGCUUGGUACAUUCUCAGAUGUGUGGUGCUGAGGGGUGGAUAUUGGAUGGCCUCAUGUGCCUUUCAAAACCGGGGAGUAAUAUUUUGGAAAGACCCCAUCAAAUGACUGUAAAGGAGCUUCUUCUCUGGAUGAUGCUUGAGCGGCGAAGCAGGGUGGGGGGAGGUUGAGAAGCCAAAGCAUUGUACUAUAAAGACCCUGGCACGAGAGACCCCAGGUAUCUGAAUUUGCCAACACCAGAAAUGCUCAUUUGGGUUUGUUAGACAAUUCCUCAGUUUCUCUUUGCCCUCCCAGUCCUGACCCCUUUGCUUGGAAAACACACAGAUGACUCCAUGUCUGACAGCUCUGAAUACUGGAGGGGAGGGUUUCCUCACUGCUCAGAGCAGCUGUGGGGCUCUGUUCUUGUUCCCGUAGUACUGCUGAGGUGGCACAAGGACAAGGUCACAGCACACAAGCUGAUCUUCAAAAAUAAUUUUAGUAACUCUGCUAAUGAUAGUGGAACUGAGCUGGAAAUGUUCCUGUCUGAAAGAGCUGCGCUACAGAAAGACACUUUUUUCUCUAUAAUUCAACAGAAACUGGGUUUGCUCCUAAGUGCAGCCUGUUUUGAAAUCAACCCUUGUGUGGAGCUGCAGGGGUUAAUGCCCAUCUCCACUGUCAGAUGGAAACUUCCAGGGCUGGUGGGGAUGAUGGAGCGUGCAGAGGAGCUCGCAGGCCCCUCGCGUGUUGUCUGCUGUGCUGUCUGCUCUGUAUUUAGGCUGUCUUGUCUUGCUAAUCACAUCACAUCUGUCAGCUCUCUGUGGCUAGAAACAAAUUGUAAACAAGAUGUCAAGGUGGAGUGGGAUGAAUUGUUUUUAAAAAGGGGCAAAAAAAUCAAACCAUAUUGAAUGGCAAAAAAAUAAUAGGUAAAUAGCAGCUGAAUGUUCCUUUAAAAAUUAUUUUUAGUGCAUGUUUUAUCAUAGCUAAUGAAUGAUGGUUUAUACAUGAACAUUUGGUUGUAAGGAUGUGCACCACAGUGGAAAUCUAAAGCAGUUUCAUUCCUUCUCCUUCUCAUGGCCUAUAGCAGGUGCUUUACCAUUUUUUCCACCAUUAAAACACUGGAAAGGGCUGCAGCAGUUUAGUAGCAGCUUUUUCUUGCAAACAGUACAACCCCACCAACCAACACCAGCAGCAUUUGCCUGGCUCACACCUUGCAGAAUGUCUGGUAUUUCUGUGUUUCAUUUACCAGGUUUGCCCAGUAGCAGGACUCUGGUAAUAUGAUCACAGACAAUAUGAGAGAGAAUAUGUCCUGUAGGCACAGAGGAAAGAUUUACAGUUUACUUAUUCAGUAAAAGUACUUUGAUUACUAAUUAGAACUAAUUUUAUUUACUUAGAAUUUCUAUCACCAAUAAUUGUGUGUUUUCAGCUAAAAAAAAGUGAUGGACAGGAAGGAUGUGACAGAGGAACUGUUUUUCCUCAGUUAAAGAAGAUGCAAUGGUAAAUACUCAGAUGCUAUGGUUUAUGUUCAUUUAGGGUCCAUUUUCCUCCCAGGUCCAAUGAAUGAUGUGGAACCAGGUGAAAUGUUUGUGUGUAAGUCACAGAUCAGAUUUAUAGGUCUCGAUGGAAAGUUAUUUCAAGUAAUUUUAGGCUUAGAAAACAAGACUGGAGCGUAUUCCCAGUAUUAAUAUAGGCAUAUGAACAAGUUUUGGUUGUGGCUAUCACCAAGUAGGGAGUGAACAGUUUUCACCAAAACUAUUUGAUAAAAUUACAGGUAAAAUGAGUUUUAUGAAAACUACAGUGGUUUUAAAAGAAAUAUUUGGAAAAAUAUUGUUUGGAAGGAUCUUAGGGCUUUGCUGCUUAAGGAUGGAGAGGGCCAGGGCAGCGCUCAGUCUUUAAAUACCCUUUGCCAAAGCUGCUGGUACCUGAGAGCUUCAUCCUCCUCUUGGGCACAGCUUCCUCCAGGCAGGGAGCAUCUUGCCUGAGGCUCUGCUUCCAGCUGUGACAGGGGCUGGAUUCAGCAAUUUUGGGUUGCCUCUGGUGUUACCAGCUGCUCCUCACUGAGCUGUGCUUUUGGAUUGGGUGAUGGACAGAGAUGGAGAAAGGAAGAUCCUGACCUGUGACCAGCAUGGUCACAGAGAAAUGCUUCAUAUAGGCUUAAGAAUUUCCAGUUAUUUGCUUUAACACUUCUGUAAACAUUUGUUGUUGUUGUUUUGUUUUGUUUUUAACAAAUUUAGCCUUUGUGUGCUAGGGCAAUUGCUGGGCUUAUGCUGCAUCUCACAGGCAGGAGUGAUGUGACAGCACGAAAAAAUUCAGUAAGACACUGCCUGUAAUUGAGGGCCAGCAUCUUGUGAUGGAGAGACAUUGGAAAGCUGUGACUUAAAGAAGAAUUGAGCCUGACACAGGUGGCAGAUGUGCAGGUAGCACAACCCUGACAGGUCAGUGCAGCUCCUGUCAAGGACCUCCAAGACAUGCCAUAAAGGGAAUAAAAGAGUGUAGCUCUGGGUAUGAUGCAUGGGCUGAGCACAGGGAGGGGUAGGGGCUGAUUUAUACCCACACAAGAUUAUUUCUGGGUUUUGCAUGUAGUGGUCUGGUGGUUCUUUUGUAUUCUCACAAAAAAGCCUCUGAUUGUUCUGACUGUUUUUACCCCUUAGAAAGGCAGAAAUAUAUUGUUUCGUUUCUUUGAUGCAUUUUUCAUGUAUAUUAGUCUGUGCUGUU
rnacentral:lncRNA from 1 species